rnacentral:misc_RNA from 1 species
ACAUUACUGAGUGGAAUCAUUUUUUCGGUAUAAAUCACUUCCACUCUGUGGAACCGGAAGCUUUGCGCUUCCAAUUUUUGCAACCCGAAAAGGG